rnacentral:sRNA from 2 species
AUUCUUAAGUCGCUGAAACCAUAUGGUACGGGGGAACCAUUUUUGUGGGUUGUUAUUUAAUCCACGGGGUGAAUCCUUUUAAGGUAGGGCUACUCAAUGGUCCGAAUCCGACAGCUAACCUCGUAAGCGUUAAAUGAGAAGGAAG